rnacentral:rRNA from 1 species
GACGUAGGGCGCGAGCGUUGUCCGGAUUUAUUGGGCGUAAAGAGCUCGUAGGCGGCUUGUUGCGUCGACUGUGAAAACCUGCGGCUCAACCUGUGGUCUGCAGUCGAUACGGGCAGGCUGGAGUUCGGUAGGGGAGACUGGAAUUCCUGGUGUAGCGGUGAAAUGCGCAGAUAUCAGGAGGAACACCGGUGGCGAAGGCGGGUCUCUGGGCCGAUAUUGACGCUGAGGAGCGAAAAGCGUGGGGGAGCAAACAGG